AUGGCCGCCUCGUACUACCACCCGCCGCCUCCCCACUCCUCCUCCUACGCCGCCCCGCCUCCUCCCCCGCCAGGCACCUCCCCGUACGCGUACCGCCACCAGCACCACCACGCCUACCUGCCGCCGGCCCCGCCCCCUGCCUACGGCGGCUACUUCGACCUCGCGGAGCCCCACCCGCCGCCGCGCGACGAGCUCCGCACCCUCUUCAUCGCCGGCCUCCCCGCCGACGUCAAGGCCCGCGAGGUCUACAACCUCUUCCGCGACUUCCCCGGCUACGUCUCCUCCCACCUCCGUGCUGGCAAAUCGGCCCAGGCGUAUGCAUUUGCUGUGUUUGAAGAUCAGCAGUCGGCAUUAGCUGCAAUGAGUGCCACAAAUGGAAUGGCAUUUGACCUUGAGAAGAAUUGUUCUAUCCACGUGGAUCUUGCAAAGUCCAAUUCGAGAUCAAAGCGUCCCAGAACAGAUGAUUUCUCUAGAUCCUCUGAGAAAAAAGCUAGAAAUGCCAGGGGAAUUUCUGAUUCAGGUGCUGGAAGCAAUAUUCACAUGUCCGGAAUGGGUAAUUCUUCACACAGCUUGAAUGGUUAUCCUUCUGCACAAAGCUGUACAAAUUUUGGGGCUAGUACUGCUUUCAGCAAGGACCCAUCAAUAUUUGCCCCUCAAAAUAAUCCUCCAUGCCCUACACUUUUUGUUGCAAACCUCGCUGAAACUUGUUCCGAGCGAGAGUUAACAGAUGUUUUCUCAAGUUUUGCGGGAUUCAUGAAGCUAAAGAUGCAAAACAAGUCUGGAGCACCAGUUGCAUUUGUUGAUUUUGAGGAUGACUAUAGUUCAACUGAAGCCCUGAACCGUCUCCAAGGAGCUAUUUUACAUUCGUCAACUGCCGAGGGCAUGCGUUUAGAAUAUGCCAAAUCUCGAAUGGGCAUGCGUAAGAAGCGUUCCUGAAUACAACCGAAAGACGAGGCUGCUGUUGUUUCUAAUACAACAGGUGUAAGCAGCCGAGCAACGUUGUUCAUCUAAACUGGUGUUCAGGCUAUUUUGCAGGUUUGCCACAUUAUGUCUAAAGUACCACUACGUCUAAUGAUGGUUCUGCUCAACUGUAUUGCAGUCCUUUUGGAAGCUAUACUCCAUAUAAGUAUUCAAAAUUUUGCUAUGUUGAAGUUCAAAAGAAAAAAACGUGUGCCAUGUUCAGUUUGAGCAGUUGAGCAUCUGUCAGGUGGAGGCUUCUCAGGUGUUUUCCUUUCGGCUUCAACAAGCUGAGCUGGUGCACUUCGCUGGUUCAAUUUGCUGCUCAAUCCACUUUCUGAACUCCAAACUGAAAGCCGAUGUCAAACAGGAUAAGCCUGCAGCAGACCGUGAGCGUAUAUAAAACAUCUGAACAGCGCGUGCCGACGACACGAGAUGAGCUUCUCUUUGUCUCCGCAAAAUUUCUUGUAACAAAAUCGAAGAGCAGAUCUCUGCAAAGAAGUUGAGACUUCGCUUUCGAUGCUUGUACCGGGUUAUCAUUCUUUUCGAAAAAAAUAAGGUACAUAAGCUAGCCCAGUAGCAUCAACACUAGCAUGUUGUUUAGUGGCAUCCAAUUAAUUAAGUCUUGCACUCUCUUCAAUAAACUGAUAAUUUACUGUCA